rnacentral:rRNA from 1 species
CCUACGGGUGGCAGCAGUAGGGAAUCUUCCACAAUGGGCGAAAGCCUGAUGGAGCAACGCCGCGUGGGUGAAGAAGGUCUUCGGAUCUUAAAACCCUUUUGUUAGAGAAGAAAGUGCGGGAGAGUAACUGUUCACGUUUCGACGGUAUCUAACCAGGAAGCCACGGCUAACUACGUGCCAGCAGCCGCGGUAAUACGUAGGUGGCAAGCGUUAUCUGGAGUUAUUGGGCGUAAAGGGAACGCAGGCGGUCUUUUAAGUCUGAUGUGAAAGCCUUCGGCUUAACCGGGGUAGUGCAGUGGAAACUGGGAGACUUGAGUGCAGAAGAGGAGAGUGGAAUGCAAGGUGUAGCGGUGAAAUGCGUAGAUAUAUGGAAGAACACCGGUGGCGAAGGAGGCUCUCUGGUCUGUAACUGACGCUGAGGUUCGAAAGCGUGGGUAGCAAACAGGAUUAGAUACCCUAGUAGUC